CAAAGAUUAAGCCAUGCAUGUCUGAGUACAGACCGAUCUAAGGUGAAACCGCGAAUGGCUCAUUAAAUCAGUCAUAAUUCCUUGGAUAGUGAAAAACUUUCCUCGGAUAACUGUGGAAAAUCCAGAGCUAAUACGUGCAACUGAGCUCCGACCUCGACGCGAGUCGCGGGAAGAGCGCAUUUGUUAGAUUCAAAACUGACCGGCGUACUCCUUCGGGAUACGCCGUUUGUUAAAAUUUGAUGACUCAGGACAACUAAGUCGAGCGCUCCGGUCUUUAGUACCGGCGCCGUAUCUUUCAAGUGUCUGCCUUAUCAGCUUUCGAUUGUAGGUUAAACGCCUACAAUGGCUGUAACGGGUAACGGGGAAUCAGGGUUCGAUUCCGGAGAGGGAGCCUGAGAAACGGCUACCACAUCUAAGGAAGGCAGCAGGCACGCAAAUUACCCACUCCCAGCCCGGGGAGGUAGUGACGAAAAAUAACGAUGCGAGACUCUUCCGAGGCCUCGCAAUCGGAAUGAGUCCAGUUUAAAUCCUUGGACGAGGAUCCAUUGGAGGGCAAGUCUGGUGCCAGCAGCCGCGGUAAUUCCAGCUCCAAUAGCGUAUAUUAAAGUUGCUGCGGUUAAAAAGCUCGUAGUUGGACUUUCUAGAUCCAUUUCGUGGGUGAGUCGCUCUUCGUACUAGCGUUUCGCGCGGUUCCAUGACCAAGUCGUCGUGACGCGUACUUCUGUCCGGGCAACCGCGGCAGAGGUUGCGUAGCGGCGUACCCAAUCAUGCGGGCGGCGAGGCGUUGUCCUAGAGUAUAGCUCGUCCGCGUUUGGUACAAUUAAAAUUUUGUCGGCUCGCUCGGAGUGCUCUUCACCGAGUGUUCCAGGGUGGCUGACACGUUCACUUUGAAAAAAUUAGAGUGCUUAAAGCGGGCUUAUUUACGGCCUGAAUGUCUGUGCAUGGAAUGAAGUAACAGGACCUCGAUUCUGUUGUUUUUGUCGGUUUUAUUGAACCGAGGUAAUGAUUAAAAGGGACAGACGGUGGCAUUAGUAUUGCGGCGCUAGAGGUGAAAUUCUUGGACCGUCGCAAGACUAACUACUGCGAAAGCAUUUGCCGAGAAUGUUUUCAUUAAUCAAGAACGAAAGUUAGAGGAUCGAAGGCGAUCAGAUACCGCCCUAGUUCUAACCCUAAACUAUGCUAACUAGCGAUCCGCCGGAGUCAUUCCCACGACCCGGCGGGAAGCCCCAGGGAAACCAAAGUCUUUGAGUUCCGGGGGAAGUAUGGUUGCAAAGCUGAAACUUAAAGGAAUUGACGGAAGGGCACCACCAGGAGUGGAGCCUGCGGCUUAAUUUGACUCAACACGGGAAACCUCACCAGGCCCGGACAUCAUAAGGAUUGACAGGUUGAGAGCUCUUUCUCGAUUUGAUGGGUGGUGGUGCAUGGCCGUUCUUAGUUGGUGGAGUGAUCUGUCUGGUUGAUUCCGAUAACGAACGAGACUCUACCCUACUAACUAGUCGGCGGAUCGUAACCCUGAGAUGGUUAGUUUGUAUAGGAGGGUUUUGCCUAGGCGAGCGCGUCCGUCCGUACCGAUAGGGAUGCGAUUACCAUUAGCUUUCGUGGCGAAGGGUGUCGUUAUUUCUAAAAGUCGGCGGUUACGAGCGUCGAAGCGGCUCCCCGAUUACUGCUACUGCUGGGGGCGUCCGUCGCAAUGUAUCUUCUUAGAGGGAUCAGCGGCGUAUAGCCGCACGAGAAAGAGCAAUAACAGGUCUGUGAUGCCCUUAGAUGUUCUGGGCCGCACGCGCGCUACAAUGUAGGGCUCAGCGUGCUUCCCCUCUCCGAAAGGAGCGGGUAACCCGUUGAAACCCCUACCCGAUUGGGAUUGGGGAUUGCAAUUAUUUCCCAUAAACGAGGAAUUCCCAGUAAGCGCGAAUCAUUAAUUCGCGCUGAUUACGUCCCUGCCCUUUGUACACACCGCCCGUCGCUACUACCGAUUGAAUGAUUCAGUGAGGGCAUCGGACUGGCCCUUCGGUUUAGUAACCUAGACCUUAGGCUGACGGAAAGAUGUCCGAACUUGAUCAUUUAGAGGAAGUAAAAGUCGUAACAAGGUUUC
rnacentral:rRNA from 1 species